GUUCAUUGUGAUCCCAAGGUUCACUGCGGUUUUCCACAAGCCUGUUUCUGCCUAUCACCAUGAGUGAUUCCUCAAUACUCAGAUUUAUCAUCAAGAUCUCAAUUAUAAGCUCAAGUUUUGAUGACAACUUGGUAAUCUGCAGAAAGCACCACCAUGUAAGGAAGGCCAAGACCACUCUGGAAUCAGUCAAGGGAUUGCAGUGACCAGACAUGCUACUGUAACUCUCAUGGUCAUGUGCUAGAAUUAGCAGGUAUUCAACAAUUUGGCCAUCUCGCUGACCUAUUGAUAUCAGAAGACCACAACAGCUCUGCAAAGCAAAUUGGAAAACAGAAUCCAUGAAACUGGCAGUGACCGGAAACCAGUUGGAAGACUUUGGUCUGUGACGUAGAGGAGUGGGCAGAGGUAGCAGAAGCAAAGACAACAAAAAGAAGAAGUGAUGUGGAUGUCUUCGUCAUAUUGCAUGACUCUGCUGACCCAGCAACAAAGAGAGGG